UACGGAGGGGGCUAGCGUUGUUCGGAAUUACUGGGCGUAAAGCGCGCGUAGGCGGACCUGCAAGUCGGGGGUGAAAGCCCGAGGCUCAACCUCGGAACUGCCUUCGAUACUGCGGGUCUCGGAGUCCGGGAGAGGUGAGUGGAAUUCCUAGUGUAGAGGUGAAAUUCGUAGAUAUUAGGAAGAACACCGGUGGCGAAGGCGGCGUCUAC
rnacentral:rRNA from 1 species